AUUGAACGCUGGCGGCAGGCCUAACACAUGCAAGUCGAGCGAGCGGCGGACGUGUGAGUAAUGUCUGGGGACUGCCCGAUAGAGGGGGAUAACUACUGGACACGGUGGCUAAUUCCGCAUACUAUCGGAUAACCCAUAUGGGAUUAGCUAGUAGGUGGGGUAAAGGCUCACCUAGGCGACGAUCUCUAGCUGGUCUGAGAGGAUGAUCAGCCACACUGUGACUGAGACACGGCCCAGACUCCUACGGAGGCAGCAGUGGGGAAUAUUGCACAAUGGGCGCAAGCCUGAUGCAGCCAUGCCGCGUGUAUGAAGAAGGCCUUAGGGUUGUAAAGUACUUUCAGCGGGGAGGCGGGAACCGAAGAAGAAGCACCGGCUAACUCCGUGCCAGCCGCCGCGGUAAUUG
rnacentral:rRNA from 1 species